AGGCAUGAAACCCAAUUCUGAGAGAGUGUGUGUGUGUGUGUGUGUGUGUGUGUGUGUGUGUCAAUAAGCCACAAGUAGAAAAAUGUGGGAAACAUGAAGUCCCCCAACACACAGUGGAACUGACCCUCCAGGCUUCUCAAACGAAUGACCCAGAACAAAACUGGAGCAUCAGAGUAUCUUCCAGCCAGACUCAAUAUUUCAGACUGACUCAGCUUGAUGAGAGUGGUUGCUACGAUUCCAACAAAGACUGGAACAUGCUUUCUGCUUCAUCUAGAACAACCUUCAGACUCGGUCCAGGAGCGAGAGGCCAGUGGGGAGGGGAUCGCUGUGCUCCAGGACCCCAGGGCAAGCUCUGAGCACCACAGCAAGGUCUGAGCAAAGCUGCUGCAGCUUGGAAAGUCGAUACAGGAGGCCACAGGACGCAGCAACAGUGAGGGACAUGCCCAAGGUCACCUAGCCUGUUGGGGAGAGUCUGCCCUGGAAUGCAGGCUUCUGCUUUCCUCUGCUCCUUCCAGCAGGAUCCACGUGGCCAGACUCCUGCAUCAGGAGCAAAGCCCAACCAGGGAGCUGGCUGCUGUUUCCUCAACGGCGCUGAAGCUCUGUGGACUGAGGGCAGCCUGCCCACCUCGCUCUGUGCCCGGCCGAGCCCCUGACACCCAGCUCAGACGUCUCCUCUUCCGAACGGCCUUCCCCGAUCUCACCACAUCCCAGGAUGGAUCAGGAGCCCAUCCAGGCUCCUCCUGCCCACCGCAGCACCCAUCCUGACCAGCCAUGAGGGGAGAGCUGCUCUUCCUGCCCCCUCCCCCCGACACACCCGUGGGGGUGCCAGUCCAGAGGCCAUGAUGCAUACAUGAGCCCAGGUUGGACAAGCAUUGGAGAAAAGGGAGCACGGACGGUGGGAACGAGAAGGGCUCAUGUGAGCCUGGGGACACACCAGGUGCCCAAAACAGGCAGAGGUGCCUGGGCAGGCCCUGCUGAGAAAGCUGUGGUGUCAGCUACCAGGAGUCCCUUUGCCUUCAGUGUCGUGGGAUGUGACACUUGCUGGCAGGGAGGGGACCAGGCAUUUGCUAAGGAAGCCCCCAGGAGUGGCAAUGUCUGAGCCGGCGCUGGUGGCCGGGACCCGGGAGGCCUGAACAGGGCCGUGUCCAGGAGCCGCAAAAGACCGGGAUUCCUCUACCAGCCUUCGCAUACAGGUUUCCAUGUGAUGAGGGUCUCGGCUUUUUUUCUUCCAGAUGGGAAUAGAAAAUAAGGGACACCUGCAUGGCUCAGUGGUUGAGCAUCUGCCUUUGGCUCAGAGCAUGAUCCCGGAGUCCUAGGAUCGAG